CAGGAAGGCGGCCUCCAAAUCCCCCUCUGACACAAGAGACACAGCAGACAAUGGACAGGGAGACUCUAGUCCAGUGUUUGACAACAUCUCAGGCACGGCCUUCACCCCUACUGCAGCACAGACAGCAGCCACAGACGACCAGGAUGAUGUUCACUACGCCAGCAUCCACUUCUCUCGCUCCAAAAACCAGGAAGUGCCUCUGUACUCCACCGUCCAGCUGCAUCAACCCCAGAAAGAGAAUGAGGAUGUCCAGUACGCUGCUGUGAAUUUCAACCUCCCCUGUGCUGCCACCUGACCCGCAGCAGCACAAGCAGCUGAGGAGGACUCCUCUGUUCUCUAUAGUACAGUCAAUAAACCCUGAACCAAGAAGACCUGAACACAACAAACUCAGAACUAAGAAGACCUGAACGCAACAAACCCAGAACCAAGAAAACCCGAACACAACAAAUCCAGAACCAAGAAGACCUGAACACAACAAACUCAGAACUAAGAAGACCUGAACACAACAAACUCAGAACUAAGAAGACCUGAACGCAACAAACCCAGAACCAAGAAGACCUGAACACAACAAACUCAGAAACUAAGAAGACCUGAACACAUCAAACCCAGAACCAAGAAGACCUGAACACAACAAACCCAGAACCAAGAAAACCUGAACAGAAGAAGUUUGACAAUAGCCUUGUGUAUCAGGACCUGUAUAUCUAAACUAAGUGAUAUAAUGCCUGUGGAGGUGUGGAAUAUUGACCUUUAUAAACUGGGUGGUUUGAGCCCUGAAUGCUGAUUAGCUGACCGGCGUGGUAUACCAGACCGUAUACCAUGGGUAUUAACAUUUGUAUUUACUGGUCUAAGUACAUUGGUAACCAGUUUAAAAUAAGGCACCUCGCUGUUUGUGGUGCAUCCAAGCACUCCGCGUUGCAUUGUGCAGAAGAACAGCCCUUAGCGGUAGUAUAUUGGCCAUAUACCACACCUCCUCGGGCCUUAUUGCUUAAAUUUAUAAUGGCAACAAGGUACUUCAGGGGUUUUUGUUAUAUGACCAACAUACUGUUCCACGGCUUAUUUUAAACUGGUUAACAACAUAAAUAGAACAUUAAACAAGUAUUUUUACUUCAUACCCGUGGUAUAUUGUCUGAUAUACAGUAUAGACUUCUGAAAUACUGUUUCAGCCAAUCACCAUCAAGGGCCAAAACUACCCAGUUUUUAAUAGUAUUUAAUAAUAUAUUCCAUCUAGUAGACACUUUUAUCCAAAUUCACACAGUCAUUACAGUCAUGUUUGAAAACACUUUUCGUAUGGGAAGUCCCAGCAGGAAUUGAACCCAUGCUCCAUGCUGUACCAACUGAGCCACAGGCGACUCUAUUCACACUUAGAGUAGAAGUUCUGAUUUAGGGUCAGUUAUGACUUUGAAACAGUUGUGAAUUAGAAAGGGACCUUAACAUUUUUUAUAUAUAUUUUUACAUUAAAAAAUGUUGUAUUUCUGACGUAGGAAACCUUGAGUUCCAGUUAUAUCUUACAGAGCAUUCAGAAAGUAUUCAGACCCCUUGACUUUUUCCACAUGUUGUGAUGUUUCAAACUUUUUCUCAAAUUGAUGAGAUAAUUCUCUCCUCAUCAAUCAACACACUAAACCCCAUAAUGCUAAAGCAAAAAAGGUUUUUAGACAAUUUUGCAAAUGUAUAAAUU